CAGCAAUGAAGAAGUAAUCAAACCCACUAGCAUAUGGUGUUGCGAUUACCAAAACGCCCCUUAAUCACAGAAAAAGGUUAAAUAGUGAAUUCACUUAAUUCUCAGAUUAGAUAGCAGUUUAGGUAAAAAAGGCAUACAUAU